rnacentral:rRNA from 1 species
CGCGGCGACGCCGGCGGUUCGCCGCUGGUGUUGUUGUGAGAAGUUCAUUAAACCUUAUCAUUUAGAGGAAGGAGAAGUCGUAACAAGGUUUCCGUAGGUGAACCUGCGGAAGGAUCAUUG